UACGGAGGGGGCAAGCGUUGUUCGGAGUUACUGGGCGUAAAGCGCGCGUAGGCGGUGCGGUAAGUCAGGGGUUAAAGGCUGCAGCUCAACUGCAGUAAGGCCUUUGAUACUAUCGUGCUAGAGUGUCAGAGAGGAUGGCGGAAUUCCCGGUGUAGCGGUGAAAUGCGUAGAUAUAGGGAGGAACACCGGUUGCGAAGGCGGCUACCUGGCCGGUAACUGACGCUGAGGUGCGAGAGCGUGGGGAGCAAACAGG
rnacentral:rRNA from 1 species